rnacentral:lncRNA from 1 species
UGGCCUUUGAUGUUGCAAUGGAAAUACUUUUCUUGUUGUCGGCCUUCUUCGAAACCUACUUUUUAGGCUUGACCUCGUUCUUUUGCUUCUUUGCAGAUUUCUUCUUCUUCUUGAAAGAAGAUUUUUUCUUAGAGAAAGUCCGCUCCACAGUCAGAACUGUACCUUUUGAACUCUUCAAGGUGCCCUUUACUGUUACCAGCAUGUUCAAUAAUUCAGACAAAGUGCUAUCAAUUUUGUUCAUAUGGUAGUUCCUGAUGAACUGCCCCU